rnacentral:lncRNA from 1 species
CACCACAAUGGAUACACUAUAGAGGUAUCAGCAUCUCAAUCUCAAUGCUGUCACAAUGCUCUGUCCUUUACGAGAUAGCCUUCUAAACUUGGCAUUGUCUCACUAAUAAGUGAACCUGGGAAGGCCACUUUCUUGUCAGGACCUUGGUACCCCCUAUGGGCAAAAUAAAAGUACUGUACUAGACAGACAUCUAAGGUCCCUACCCAUGAUUUUAUUCUGAUACCUACAGUUUUGCUUAUCUCACAACCAAAGCCUCAACAGUGUUCGCUUCUUGCUAUAAUGCCUUGGUUCUGUAUUUAGACACGAUUUGGAAGACACCAUCAAUUUCCUGAAAGCAUAGACAACGCUAGUUCAGUGUCUCACCUGUCAUGUUCACAGCCCGUCCAUUUAUUUGCUUAUUGAUUUUUUUCAUUCUCUCUCGCCUCCAUUCAAAGCUUUGCAUAACAAACGUAGCUUCUGGCCUGUCCAUAAAAAUCUCACCGAGUAAUUCCUGGGGAUGAGUGAAGUGUACCAUUUAGACAUUUGAAUAGAUACCUCUACUCUAAGCAGUUCACACCAGAAACUCCAAGUGCUAUGCUUUCGAUUGCAGGCCAGAAAUAGGUUAUUUUCUGCUUAAAAGAGAAAAAAUCAAUGGUACUUUAUUAAAAUAGCAUUUCCUAUCUUCCAUGACCACAUCUUGUCUAGUUGACUGCUGGGAGCUGCUUUCCCCACUCUCAUCCUGGCUCAGUUCACACACUUGCGCGUCUGUCAGGAUUUCCAUGAUAAGCCACCACUACCCACACUGCCUUAAAAGGAUGAGCAUUUAUCCAUAAAAAUGGCCCUCAUCUCUGCACCAUGCCAAGUGUGCUCAUCUUUCAAAAGAAUGAAUUACAAGUGUAGAGGGCACAUGUUCUGAAUGUAAAGGAAUGAGAAGUUAUAAAAUUAAUGAAACCAGAUGCUGUUUCAAAUCUCCUAUUAGAGAAAGCCAUUUGUCAACUGAAUCAGUCCUAUACCUUGAUUAUAAAUGUCCAUCUAAGGAAGUGUUGAUGAAGCCUGGGAAGUUAAUAUCAGACAUGAAUCCCUGCCCAAGUAGAAGGGUCCUGGGAAAUAUCGCAGAGUUUCAGUUGGGACCCCUGAAAGACUAUACCCUAGAAGUAAGGGCAAAAUAGAAAUAGACUAGAUCUUAUGAAAGCUGAACAUUACACUGUAAUCAAUUCAGCACCCAAUCGGAUGGAAGUGAUAUGCUCUUACCCUCCUUGUAUAUCAAAAACCUUUCUCCACUAUAAGGUAACAUCAUUCAGAGUCUCUAACGGUUUCUCACAAUGUGUAUGAAUGUAUGUGAAUUUCCAGCAUUCAAUAAAAAAUUAGAAGGUAUACCAAGAGAUAGGGUAUGUCAAGAGGCAGGACAAAGGGUCUUUCCCCCCGCCCAAAAAAAAAUGCCCACAGGUGAUCCAAGUUAAGGGUAGUUAAGAGACCUGAAUUUUAACUGUUAGGAUUCAAGAAGACAGAUGGCCAUAUGGAGAAUUUCACCAGAGGACUGAAAUCUAUUCAAAUAAUCAGAUAGACAUUCUAGAAACAAAAACUCAAAUUAACAAUAACAGGCGUGUUUCAACAACAGACACAGCUAGAAAGAGUAUUCAUGAUUUGAAGACAUGCCGUUUAAAAUGUCCAUCCUGGGAUCCCUGGGUGGCGCAGCGGUUUGGCGCCUGCCUUUGGCCCAGGGCGCGAUCCUGGAGACCCGGGAUCGAAUCCCACAUUGGGCUCCCGGUGCAUGGAGCCUGCUUCUCCCUCUGCCUGUGUCUCUGCCUCUCUCUCUCUCUGUAACUAUCAUAAAUAAAUAAAAAUUUAAAAAAAAUUUAAAAAAUAAAAUGUCCAUCCUGAAGCCCAGAGGGAGAAAAAACAGGAAACAUAAAAAAGAAUAGUGAGAGUUGUGGGAUAUGGUGAGAAGUCCUGUCAUGUGUUUAUCUGGAAUCUCAGAAAUGAAGGAGAGAAAGAAUGGGACAGAAGUAACAUCUGACAGAGUAAAAGCUGAAAAAAAAUUAUCUUCCAAAAAGGAAGAAGAUGGACAAGAGGUAAAGAGAAACAUUUUAUAAGGAAAAACAGAUCAAUCCAUGAGGAGGAGAAAGCAAAUAAUAUGUACCUGAAAACAAAGGCAUAUAAACCAUAUAAAGCAAAAAUUGACAGAACUGAAAGGAAAAAUAGACAUAUGUACAAUCACAGGGAGAGAUUUUAACAACUUCUUUCAGUAAGUGAUAGCACACAGGGUGGGGGGGGAAAGAUAUGAAGAUAGAAGCAUGAUUAACAAAUAUGAAAUAAUUGUCAUAAAACCACACUACUAAUGUACUUUUUGGUAAAUGCAUGAGAAAUAUUUACCAAAAAUGUUCAUAUGCUGUGCUAUAAAGAACAUCUCAACAAAAUUUAAACCAUCAAAAUUAUAUAAUAUAUAGUCUCUGAACUCAGCAAAAUUUAACUAAAAUUUACUAAAAAAAAUAACUAGAAAGUCCCAAAGUUUAAAAAAUAAAGCAAUAUAUGUAAAUAAUCCAUGGCCAUCACUUUGUAUUGUUUCUGCUUUCUAUUGUGUAUUCCUAAGCUAUGGAGCUACAGGCAAACUCUAAGCUAAGAAAAAACAUUAAGUCGUUUAUUCACAUCUUGCCAAUUACAAAUAUUCAAAAAUCCUGUGAAAGCACAAAUAACAUUUACUAAGCCAUAGUUUGGGAAUCUCUCUUUUCCUUUAGCAAAGUUAAAAAAUAAAAGUGAUAGUACAACCUUUGCAGGAUCACAGUAGAAGUCUUCUGGAAAUAGAUCUUUAAUUUCUUCAACAACAACAAAAAUUCUACAUUUUCAAGGACACCCUGAAAGGAAUACUAAUAAACUGGCAGCUAGAAUAGAUGAUCUCACCUCUAAGAUUCUGGUUAUUCCUAAAUCCUAAUUUGGCCUAUUUCAUAUUUUUUCUGGUAAUGAUCAAGUAUAAAAUAGCCCUAAGCCCCAUGCUAAAACUAGGUGACAACAUGAGGUUAAAUUUCUCUUUUUUUAAAGUUUUUAUUUAAAUUCCAAUUAGUCAACAUACAAUGUAAUAUUAGUUUCAGGUGUACAGUAUAGUGAUUUCACACUUCCAUACAUCACUCUAUGCUCAUCACAAGUGCACUCCUUCAUCCCUAUCGAGGUUAAAUUU